ACGAACGCUGGCGGCGUGCUUAACACCUGCAAGUCGAACGGAAAGGCCCUGCUUUUGUGGGGUGCUCGAGUGGCGAACGGGUGAGUAACACGUGAGUAACCUGCCCUUAACUUUGGGAUAACUUCAGGAAACUGGGGCUAAUACCGGAUAGGAGCUCCUGCUUCAUGGUGGGGGUUGGAAAGUUUCGGCGGUUGGGGAUGGACUCGCGGCUUAUCAGCUUGUUGGUGGGGUAGUGGCUUACCAAGGCUUUGACGGGUAGCCGGCCUGAGAGGGUGACCGGCCACAUUGGGACUGAGAUACGGCCCAGACUCCUACGGGAGGCAGCAGUGGGGAAUAUUGAACAAUGGGCGGAAGCCUGAUGCAGCAACGCCGCGUGCGGGAUGACGGCCUUCGGGUUGUAAACCGCUUUCGCCUGUGACGAAGCGUGAGUGACGGUAAUGGGUAAAGAAGCACCGGCUAACUACGUG
rnacentral:rRNA from 1 species